UAGCAUAUCAAUAAGCGGAGGAAAAGCAACUAACCAGGAUUCCCCCAGUAACGGCGAGCGAAGCGGGAACAGCUCGAGCAGGCAAUCUCUGGUGUCGAUCGCCAGCGAAUUGUGGCCGGCAGAGGCGGAUGCACCCGGCGAGACUCCGUCGAAGUUGACCUGGAAAGGCACGUCGGAGAGGGUGAUAGCCCCGUGCGUGGCGGAGUCUCAAUGGGCCGCUACCGUCUUCGGAGAGUCGGGUUGUUUGGGAGUGCAGCCCAAAGUGGGUGGUAAACUCCAUCUAAAGCCAAAUAACGGCACGAGACCGAUAGCGAACAAGUACCAUGAGGGAAAGGUGAAAAGCACUUUGGAAAGAGAGUUAAAGAGGCCGCGAAACCGUUGGGAGGGAAACGCAUGCAGCCGAACGGGCCCGCGUCGAGUUCAGGGAACCGCGACCGGUCCCGCGUGCGGACGGCACCCCAUGGGUCGUCCGUGCGUGUCGGGCCUCUCGUGCUCCUGCACUCUCGGCGGCAAGGGCCGGCCAAGUGCGGUGGGCACCGGGCGACGAGCACGCGUCGGGAAGGUAGCGCAGCCGUCUCGCGCGGAGGCGAACUUAUAGCCGACCGUGCGGAGCGUCCGGAGCCCACCGAGGAGAGCGGUGGAGCUUCCACCCCCGUAGCGCAGGCCUGCCCAAGGGCGGGCCGGGGCGCUCUCGUCCGUGCGACCACGACGCCGCGUCACUGCCUGCAGUGUCCGGUGUCCGUCGGUCCGUUCGGGCGAGAGGUCGUCUCACGCCUUGCGCUGUGGUCGCUUGGCCAGCCGUCGGCUGCAUUCGA
rnacentral:rRNA from 1 species